GUACUUUUAAAAAUUGUAAUUGUGAAUGCUUAUUAAUUGUACAAAUGAACGGUUCCACUGACAUUUCCAUACAGGCACACAUUGUGCUUUGAUCACACCCACUUUCCCUUCUCUCUGCUUCCCCUUCUGCCUCCCCACUGUCCCUAGUCCCCUUCCCGUCUCCAGAAAGUCCCUUUUCCACUCUCAGAUCUUCUUGUUUCCUUUUAUCCCCCGCCCCCCCACUUUCCAUGUAUGAGAGAAAGUAUGCAAUACUUAUCUUUCUGUGUCAGGGUUAUUUCAGUUAACACAAUGUUGCUGUGGUUCUAUAUAUUUUCCUGAAAAUGACAUGAUUUUAGUCAUCUUUAUGGCUGAAUAAUGCCCAUUUUUUGUGUGUGUAUGUGUGUGUGUACACCAUAUUUUCUUUUUCCAUUUAUCUGUUGAUGAUCACCUAGACUGAUUGCAUAUCUGAUAAAAGUUUCUUCUCAGAAAUACCUGUAAACCCCUGUUUAUUGUGAAUAGUGCCACAAUAAACAUGGGUUUACAGGUAUCUCUUUUGUAUGCUGACUUCACUUUCUUCAGGUAUAUACCCAGAAGUGGUUUAGUUGGUUUAUAUUUAUCUCAUCUUAGUUUUUUGAGGAAUCUUCAUACUCUUUCCAAAGUGACUGUGCUAAUUUACAUUCCCACCAACAGUGUAUAAGGGUUCCUUUAUCUCCAUAUCCUCUCCAAUGUUUUUUUUAUUUUGUUGAUAGCAGCCAUUCCAAGAUGGAAUUUCAAUGUAGUAUAGAUUUGUAUUUUCUCAUUAGCUAAAGAUGUUGAGCUUUUUUUUUUUUUUUCAUAUUUUUGUUGGCCAUUUGUUUGAGAGGACAACAUAUAGAAUGGAAGAUCUUUGCCAGCUAUUCAUCUAACAAAGGAUUAAUAACCAGAAUAUAUAAAGAACUCAAAGAAUGUAAAAACAGAAUAACAUAAUUUCAAUCAAUGGACAAGGGACUUGAUACUUCUUGGAAUACUUUUUAGUGAUUCAAGGGUAACAGGAAAAACUUAUAAGUUGUACACAAAAAUAGAUCAACUUGGCAACACAAGCCAUAAUUUUUGUUGGUCUCUAGUUUGACAUACUACAUUCAUUUAAAAGUUGUUAAUAUAUUACACUCAGCUUAUAUGUUCAAAAAUAAUAUUUCCAACCCAAACAUUUUAUAAAAUGAGAUAAUCUGCAUUUUUUUUCUACAAAGACUUUGGACUUGAAUGUGUAUAUUACAUAACUGCAUCUUAAUUCCCACCAGACGUAAUCUGCACGAUAGACGCUUGUGGCUGAUGGCUACCAUCUUGCUAAAGGCCUUAUAGACACUGCCAUAGUCUUUUGUGGCAAAUAUUGUCAACAUCAUACUGAGCUCUUCAAAGUUAAACCUUCAGGACAUCAUUCUAGAAUUUAUUAAUGGAGGAUCCAGGAC
rnacentral:lncRNA from 1 species